rnacentral:rRNA from 1 species
UACGUAGGGGGCAAGCGUUGUCCGGAAUCAUUGGGCGUAAAGCGCGCGUAGGCGGCUACUUAAGUCGGAUGUGAAAGCCCCUGGCUCAACUGGGGAAGUGCACCCGAAACUGAGUGGCUUGAGUGCGAAAGAGGGUCGCGGAAUUCCCGGUGUAGAGGUGAAAUUCGUAGAUAUCGGGAGGAACACCGGUGGCGAAGGCGGCGACCUGGGUCGUCACUGACGCUGAGGCGCGAAAGCGUGGGGAGCAAACAGG